rnacentral:rRNA from 1 species
UACGGGGGGAGCAAGCGUUGUUCGGAUUUACCGGGCGUAAAGGGCGCGUAGGCGGUCAGCACAAGUCAGUUGUGAAAUCUCCGGGCUUAACUCGGAAAGGUCGACUGAUACUGUGCGACUAGAGUGCGGAAGGGGCAACUGGAAUUCUCGGUGUAGCGGUGAAAUGCGUAGAUAUCGAGAGGAACACCUGCGGCGAAGGCGGGUUGCUGGGCCGACACUGACGCUGAUGCGCGAAAGCCAGGGGAGCGAACGGG